GUCAGGAUGGCCGAGUGGUCUAAGGCGCCAGACUUAAGAUCUGGUCCUCCUAGGAGGGCGUGGGUUCGAACCCCACUCUUGACA
rnacentral:tRNA from 1 species